rnacentral:rRNA from 1 species
CUCUGUCCUCAAGGAAGAUAAUGACGGUACUUGAGGAGGAAGCCCCGGCUAACUACGUGCCAGCAGCCGCGGUAAGACGUAGGGGGCUAGCGUUAUCCGGAUUUACUGGGCGUAAAGGGUGCGUAGGCGGUCUUUCAAGUCAGGAGUGAAAGGCUACGGCUCAACCGUAGUAAGCUCUUGAAACUGGGAGACUUGAGUGCAGG